CGGGUACUGCCCUUCUCGUCAGGAAUAAUUACUCUCGGGGCCUUACGCUCCUCAAGGGAGCUGUCCCUGAGGGAGGCCGUGGCCUCCUUCAAACGGCGCCCACCUACGUUAGUAGGUCUCCGAGGAACGACAUUCCGACGGUCGCGGUGGUCCCACU
rnacentral:other from 1 species